UACGGAAGGUCCGGGCGUUAUCCGGAAUUAUUGGGUUUAAAGGGAGCGCAGGCGGGAGUAUAAGUCAGCUGUUAAAUAUCAGAGCCCAACUCUGUUAUGCAGUUGAAACUAUAUUUCUUGAGUACGCACAGGGAUGGCGGAAUUCAGGGUGUAGCGGUGAAAUGCUUAGAUAUCCUGAAGAACUCCGAUCGCGAAGGCAGCCAUCCGGAGCGUAACUGACGCUGAGGCUCGAAGGUGCGGGUAUCGAACA
rnacentral:rRNA from 1 species